GACAGAGGAUGCAAGCGUUAUCCGGAAUGAUUGGGCGUAAAGCGUCUGUAGGCGGCUUUUUAAGUCUGCCGUCAAAUCCCAGGGCUUAACCCUGGACAGGCGGUGGAAACUACCAAGCUGGAGUACGGUAGGGGCAGGGGGAAUUUCCGGUGGAGCGGUGAAAUGCGUAGAGAUCGGAAAGAACACCAACGGCGAAAGCACUCUGCUGGGCCGACACUGACACUGAGAGACGAAAGCUAGGGGAGCGAAUGGG
rnacentral:rRNA from 1 species